AUUGAACGCUGGCGGCAGGCCUAACACAUGCAAGUCGAGCGGAUGAAGGGAGCUUGCUCCUGGAUUCAGCGGCGGACGGGUGAGUAAUGCCUAGGAAUCUGCCUGGUAGUGGGGGAUAACGUCCGGAAACGGGCGCUAAUACCGCAUACGUCCUGAGGGAGAAAGUGGGGGAUCUUCGGACCUCACGCGAUCAGAUGAGCCUAGGUCGGAUUAGCUAGUUGGUGGGGUAAAGGCCUACCAAGGCGACGAUCCGUAACUGGUCUGAGAGGAUGAUCAGUCACACUGGAACUUAGACACGGUCCCGACUCCUACGGGAGGCAGCAGUGUGGAAUAUUGGACAAUGGGCGGAAGCCUUAUCCAGCCAUGCCGCGUGUGUGAAGAAGGUCUUCGGAUUGUAAAGCACUUUAAGUUGGGAGGAAGGGCAGUAAGUUAAUACCUUGCUGUUUUGACGUUACCAACAGAAUAAGCACCGGCUAACUACGUG
rnacentral:rRNA from 1 species